CGCGUAGGCGGUCUUUUAAGUCUUGUGUGAAAUCCCUCGGCUCAACUGAGGAACUGCACGGGAUACUGGAAGACUUGAGUUCGGGAGAGGGAAGCGGAAUUCCGGGUGUAGCGGUGAAAUGCGUAGAUAUCCGGAGGAACACCGGUGGCGAAGGCGGCUUCCUGGACCGAUCACUGACGCUGAGGCGCGAAAGCUAGGGGAGCAAACGG
rnacentral:rRNA from 1 species